rnacentral:snRNA from 1 species
GGAUGUGAGGGCGAUCUGGCUGCGACAUCUGUCACCCCAUUGGUCGCCAGGGUUGAUUCAGCUGAUCUGGCUGGCUAGGCAGGUUUCGCCUUCCUCCUUCACCGCUCUAAGUAUGUCCCUCCUGAAGAUGCCCAAGCUUGGCCAAAGAAGACGACCUUCCCUGAAUAGAGGAGGACCGGUCUUCGGUCAAGGGUCUUUGGUCAAGAGUAGCUGCGCUCCCCUGCUAGAACCUCCAAACAAGCCCAAGGUCCACAAAGUGAAUAAAUUGUAAUUAAUAAAAAUAAAUUAAUUAAUUUAAAAAAGAAUUCAUGAGGAUGCUAUCU